AGACAUUUCUUUUAUUUUUUUCAGCUUUUGAAAGGGCAGGUCUGUGCAGCUCGGGUCUUCCCGAAGUACUAAGACGCUUGAAAGCGCUUCUUCCGGGAGAUUGCCGCAGCGUUUCCGAGGGGUUUUUCCUGGGCGCUGUCUCCCAGGCUUUCAGGCCACCGCGCUACACGGAGUCUGCGCAGGCGCGGCCGCGCGGGGCAUCACGGGCCGCCCGGACGCGGAAGAUGGCGGACUCGGUCGUGGGUAAGGACAAGUGCGGGGAACAGCGGCUCGUGUCGCUGCCCCUGUCCCGCAUCCGAGUCAUCAUGAAGAGCUCUCCUGAGGUGUCGAGCAUCAACCAGGAGGCACUAGUGCUCACGGCCAAGGCCACGGUGAGCGGCCAGCGGGGCGACGAGAGGGGCGGGCACGGGCACCAACCGCCCCUUGGGCUCCGCACACUCCUAGCCUUUGGUUGCCCUGCGGGAGCCGGGAGUCUUGGUCUCUCCCUGCGCCUGCGCAUUACACACCCACUCUCCCGUGGUCUUAGCUCCGCCCACUGCGCCGCUCCCGCUGUCCUUUGCGCUGCUUUUGCUCUGCAUCACUUCGCUCCCAGCGUUCUCUGCGUUCCGCCUACCGCGUCACUCCCGCCCUGCUUCGCACGCGUGAGGAGCUAAGUGCGGCUGCGCGAGUUGACCAGUGAGGAGGGCGUACUGUCUACUUCUUUUCUGUCGCUGACUUCCCGCAGAGUGAUGCGAGGGUUCUCGAAGCAUCCAGGACAGCUUGCAAGGAUGUCUAGGGCUCUUCAGCCCUCAGGACUCUGGAGGAGCUCUUUGUUCAGUAUCUAGCCACCUGUUCCUACAGACACGGCAGUGGCAAAGCCAAGAAAGCGCUGACAUACAGUGACUUAGCCAGCGCUGCCGAGGAUUCAGAGACACUUCAGUUUCUCGCAG